rnacentral:lncRNA from 1 species
UGUAGAAAACAAUGUUAAAAGCAUGAAGGGCUGAACACAGCCAAGAAAGCUCUGCUCGCCUCUAGGAAAUAUGCAACAGAAACAGCUACUAUUCUAGGCACAGCCAACUUUUAUGGGACUGUGACUUGUGACUUCAUUUUUUUGACUUGUUUUUGUGACUGUGUGGAACCCUGUUCAGCUACAGAUUGAUUGAUUGAUUGAUUGAUUGAUUGUGUGACUGCAGAAAUGGAUAAAAGUCCCCCAUCCAAAUAAUGACUAUCAUCAGUGCAGGUAAGAAAAAAUAUUAAUUUUAAUUUUUAUCAUCUACAAUACUGUCUUAUUUAUUUUAUAGUACAGUACAUAGAUUAUUGCUUUCAUUUUAUGGAUCAAUAGUCUUCUUAGAUAGGAAAAUUCAUGUUAAAUUGCUGUGUUAGGGGUUGUUUUUAAAAGUCUGGAACUGAUUAAUACAUUUUGCAUUACUUUCUAUGGGAAAGCAUGCCUUGGUUUUAGAAUGCUUUGGUUUUGGAACAGAUUUGCGGAACAGAUUAAGUUUGGGAAAGAAGGUACCACCGUAUUUUAGCUGAAUCUUCCACCAUUCCGUUUAUUGCAUGUCCUCAAAUUCAAGUUAUAUUCAAAUUACAAGAGAGGGAGAAAGUAAGUAAGUAAGUAAGUAAGUAACCAACCAACCAACCAACCAGAAGGCCCUCAGAGCUGGACCUCAGUGUCCGGGGUGAAUGAUGGGGGUGGAGACGUUCCUUCAGGUAUACUGGGCCAAGGCCAUUUAGGGCUUUAAAGGUCAGCACCAACACUUUGAAUUGUACUUGGAAACGAACUGGGAGCCAAUGUAGGUCUUUCAGGACUGGUGUUAUAUGGUCUCGGUGGCCACUCCCAGUCACCAGUCUAGCUGCUGCAUUCUGGAUUAGUUGCAGUUUCCAGGCCAGCUUCAAAGGUAGCCCCACAUAGAGUGCAUUGCAGUAGUCCAAGUGGGAGAGAACUAGAGCAUGCACCACUCUGGUGAGACAAUGCAUGAGCAGGUAGGGUCUCAGCCUGUGUACCAGAUGGAGCUGGGAGACAGCUGCCCUGGACACAGAAUUCACCUGCACCUCCAUGGACAACUGUGAGUCCAAAAUGACUCCCUGGCUGCGCACCUGGUCCUUCAGGGGCACAGUUACCCCAUUCAGGACCAGGGAGUCCCCCUCACCUACCUACCUCCUGUCUCCCCAAAAUAGUACUUCUGUCUUGUCGGGAUUCCGCCUCCAUCUGUUAGCCACCAUCCAUCCCCCAACCACCUCCAGACACUCACACAGGACAUUCUCCGCUAUUCAUCACCCACUCUCUCCAUGCACUGGAUAAGAGAGGGAGAGGAAGGAGCAGGGUGGGGCACGAACUUAGUCUGCUUGAUGGGAGACAAGCUCAGCCGCAGUGCCUUGGGGGAACAAAGGGUGUGGUAACCUGGGGAGCAUAAAAAAGCUUGAGAUGGAGAACAUGAGGGAUGCGGCCUUGCAACACCUUUCAACAACAAAGAGAACCAGCACACCUUUCUCCCCCCUCCUCCAUGGAGAAACAGGGAACAUGUUGGAAUACCUAGGGCCCUAAAUAAGGAUCCUCCACCCAGUGUUGGGACGCAUGCCCUCAUUCCCUGCCAGACGGACCAUCUCCAGGCUCUCCCCUAAGCCCCAUUGGGGGGGGCAGACAGCAGUGGCAUAGCAUGGGUUGCCAGCAGCCAGGGCCACACAGAGAGGGAGUGGGAGGAAAGGAAAUGGACAGAGUACACAUGGACAUUCAUUUUUUUUUUUAAAAAAAGAUAUUUAUUAAAGUUUCAAAAAAGAAGAUACGCAUGGACAUUCAACUGCCUAAUGGUCUCUGCGUCACCCAGCAGCUGCAGAGAUGAGAGAAAAAGAGUUGUUCUGUUGUCUGAAGAGGUCAAUUCCUGGUUCACAUGGAGAAGUCAUUUUCAACAGAGCCCAGCAACGGAAGCACACACAUCUGUAUUGAGGCUGCAGUGUUUGGUGAAAUUUUGCACCCCUAACCAUUUUGCUCCUGGGGCAACCAUCCCUGUGCCCCUCCCAUAUGCUAUGCCACAGCCAGGGCCAGGAAAAAAAGGUUUAACAAAGGAAUGGUUCCAAGCAUUUCUCCGCAAAGUUAAGGCCAAACAAGUACAAGCCGAAUGCAAUCCUACUUGUCCUAUCUGGAGAUAUAACAUUGAUGCCUUACAGCAGGCUUCCUCAACCUCGGCCCUCCAGAUGUUUUGGCCUACAACUCCCAUGAUCCCUAGCUAGCAGGACCAGUGGUCAGGGAUGAUGGGAAUUGACUGUAGUCUCAAAACAUCUGGAGGGCUGAGGUUGAGGAAGCCUGCCUUACAGCAUGUCUGAUUUGCCUAAUCUUGGGGUAGUAGAACCAAACUCAUGAGACUAACAGAUUAUGUUUUAUACUUUGUGCAUACCAGUUAUCAAAGUCACCAGACUACCUCAGAGCUUCAUCUCUUCAAAUGACACAGAUCACCCAUGCAAAUGUUCUGCAGCCUCUUUAAUCCAGCCCUGGCAAUUGGGACUAAUUUGGAGAGGGAAACAUCUGUUGAAGUGGCUGGAAACCUGUACCUUCCUCAUUUUAGUAUGCUGUUACCCAAAAAUAUAGAAACUGUUAUAAGACAGAUCUGCUCCUUUUCCCUUAUGGGGCACCCAAGAGCCCGUAUAGAGUCCUUAUGUAGGUUCUCNNNNNNNNNNNNNNNNNNNNNNNNNNNNNNNNNNNNNNNNNNNNNNNNNNNNNNNNNNNNNNNNNNNNNNNNNNNNNNNNNNNNNNNNNNNNNNNNNNNNGUGUGAUAAGUCACAAAAAGCAUGCACGAGUUCACAAUCAUGUGCACAAGCAUAUAUACCCCUUUCCAGUUCCCUCCCCCUUUCUCCUCCCUCAAGAGUUCCUCUGAGCAUGAACAGAAAGCUGUCUUGGGACUAUUGUGGACUCUUGGCACCCUUCCCAGGAAAGGGGGGGGUGAGAAGCCAAGGGGUUUUCAGCAUGUUCAGAUAUGUUUCAAUCUCUUGUUCUGGCAUGGUUCCCGGACAGAAAGUAAGUUGCAAUGUGGUUCUUUAGCAAGGCCAGAAGACAUGAGAAAGGCCUGAGAAACAAUGGACUGUUCUCUACCUUUGUUACAGCAGAGCGGAAUGUUUCUGAUGCUUAGCUGCUGAGAAAAUGAUUUUGAAAAGUUUUGAGAAGCUUUGAGCCUGCUUUGGUGGGGGGGUGACUUCGGGCCUAGGUGAGGUCACCUGUCCUCACCUUCCUUCAAUCCCACUUUAUCACUACGCUAAGGAGUCUCAAAGCAGCCAACUAUCUCCGUUCCCUUCCUCCCCCACAACGAACACUCUGUGAGGUGAGUGAGGCUGAGAUACUUCAGAGAAAUGUGACUAGCCCAAGGUCACCCAGCAGCUGCAUGUGGAGGAGUGAGGAAGUGAACCCGGUUCACCAGAUUACGAGUCUACUGCUCUUAACCACUACACCACACUGCAGAGGAACAUCUGAGGUCACUGAAAGAGUCAAAAUGGCUUUAGGACUGUUUUCCUGUACUGUUUCAGACAUGUGGUUUAUAUAUUUGUGUAUGUGUUUGCCUGGUGCAUUUAUGAACAUUUGUUUUAUGUCUUAGAUCUUAUAAUCUCAUAACAGAAACUAACUGAAAGUGCAUCCAAGUCGCAAUGCAGACAGAAAAAUGCUGGUUGCCGAUAGAAGCUAAUCUUCUUGCCACACACAACUUUGGAUCCUUGGUCCAAUGUCAAGCUGCUGAUUCAUCCUGUUCCCCUGCUCCCAUUUUGCUCUGCAGUUUAAGAACGAAUUUGAAAGUCUCCCACUUUGCUGCUGGCUGGAGUUAACGGUGAGAAGUCAUGGAAGUAGAUGCUGCAACCAGUACUGAAAGAGUUUUGCUUGGGGAGGUCGCUGCACUACAUGCCAAUUUAUUUUGUUAUGAAAUCUUGUGUUUCUGGCCUAUGUUCCAGAAGACCCAUGGCACUAAGUGGGAAGGAAGCUAUGCAUUAUUUGCCCAAGCAACAACUGCCUCUACCCCUCCCUUUCUCAGAUAUCUUUAAAGGGAGAUGGAGUAUUAUUUUAUCCAGAGUUCUGGAGGGGAGAAGUUGCGUUUGGGUGGUAUCUGUGUGAGCCAGGAUGGAAUGCAGGGCCUCAGAUGGGGAAUCAAGGAGAGACGCCUUCUAAAUUUAAACAGCCUGUUCCCAAAAGUAAUUCUGGUUGUACAGUUACAUAAAGUCCAGUGGCUGACAGAUGAAAAACAGGCACGCUGCUGUAACACUCCCAUCUACGAAACAUGAGCCCCACAUUACUGGGGAUGAACUCCUCCAGUGUUUCAUCUUCAUUUACUGUAAUACAGCUGCUUUCUUCACUCUCAUCCAACCCACGCACCCUCCCAGCAAUGGGGCGGGGGGAGAAUGAGAUUAUGUAUGUUGUUUGUUAUCGUUAAAAAUCUAUUUGGCCCAGAGAAGGAGGAGUGGUGUGUGUGUGAGUGUGUGUGUGUGUGAAAUCAACGUCAGAUAAAAUGUUUCCACAAACCAAAGUAGACCUCAGAAACUGAGAAACUAGCAAGCUGUGUGCAUUCCAUGGCGCCUUAGGGUAGUGAUGUGUGAACAUGUCUUAAUCCUUCUGCUAUUCAUUUUCAUCCUGUGUUUUUUUCAUUCUGCAAUUGGUCUGUUUUGCACAAGAGUUUCUUCCAUUCACUGACACAGAAAUAUACCUUCUUCUCCACCUUUUUUUUUGUUUUGCAAAUAUUGCGGGUACAUGAUAGACCUUCAUAUCUCAGUCAUCAACAGGUACUGUUACAAAUCUAUUGCCUUCUUAGUAUGUUCCCUUUCAAACAUAAUUCAUUUCCAGAGUGGCAGCCCUGUUAAGUCUUUUGCAGGGAAAACAACACAGAUUCUUCUGGCACCUAAAAUACAAAGUGAAACGGCUAAUGGCCCAUCACAAAGCCAUUAGCAACUGCCAUCCUAAUCACAUCUACUCAGAAUUAAAUCCCAUGGAAUUGAAUUGAGCUGACCCCCAGGAAAGUGGGGCUAGGACUGCAGCCUUGCUUACUUGAUUUCAUUGUUCAAUCUAAACCAGGCAUGUCCAAAGUCCGUUUUGGGGGCCUAAUCCAGCCCGCUAUUCGGUUUAAUCUGGCCCCUGUGGCAGUUUUUUUCGUAGGUAAAAUCCUAAAAAAACCUCAACAACUUCAACCCUUAAAAAAGCUCAAGAACCUCAAUCCUAAAAAAAGUAAAAAAAGGUUAACAACUUUGGUUGGCCCAUUGGUCGGCCCUCAUGGCCCUUCACUUCAUCAAAUCUGGCCCUCUUUGAAAAAGUUUGGACACCACUGGCUAAAGUCUGUGCUAUUUUUCUAGAAAAAGAGGUGCCGGAGCUCACAAUGAACUUCUCCCUUGUUCUCUAAGAAUGGCAAUGGACUCCGAGAGGUGGGCUGUGGCUGAAAAAAAGCAUUCAUAAAGAAUAGUUGACAUUUCGUUCAUGCCCUGGAUUGUAGGCAUAUUAAAUAUUUUACAAGCACUCUAAUGUGACUUAUUAAAGUCAUUUUUGUAAUACAGUGGUACCUCGGGUUACGAACUUAAUUCGUUCCGGAGGUCCGUUCUUAACCCGAAACCGUUCUUAACCUGAGGCGUGCUUUCACUAAUGUGGCCUCUUACUGCUGCCGCGCCACCGGCAUGCAAUUUCCAUUCUCAUCCUGGGGCAAAGUUCGCAACCCAGAGCAACUACUUCCGGGUUAGCGGCGUUUGUAACCCGAAGGGUUUGUCACCUGAGGUACUUCAUAAAUGUGUAUUUUAUGUAGGAAAUAGCCAUGUUUGCCUCUGCUGAAACAUAACGCUUGAAUGAACUUAUACUUUAAAUAUUUGUAGUAAAUAUGACUUUAUGUUUGACACCUUGAAACCCUCAGGUUUUAACUGAAGAGGAACAUAGGCAGAGUCAACAGGUUACUCCAUACUCUCCAACAUUUAUCCGAUGAAAACAGUCCUAAGGAAAAGCGGGAUAUUGAAAAACAGGAUAGCUUCUGUAAAUGCGGGACUGUCCCUGGAAAACAGGGACACUUGGAGGGUCUGCAUGUUUGUGUGCAUGUUGUGUACAGCCCUAUUAUGUUAUGUACGCUAUGGCAGACUUGUCAUUGCAGAGGAGAGAGAUCAAGUGAAGCACUUUAUCAGCCAGGAUGAGAGACUGGGCGGAACGCAGACAGAGGACACUGGAAGCAGCAGUGUGCAGAGGAAAAGGGUCCCCAGCCAGAGUGUUGCUGGUGUAGACAGGCAGCAUUUUUCGCAGAAGGGGCUUCGUAGCAUUCCCUGACUGUGGACAGUGUGUAAGUGUAAACACCAGCAAAAACAGCCAUCCCCUUGCUAUGCUCGCAGACGCUGGGCACAGCACAACCUCUGGCCGCAAACCUUUCAUUCGCAGCAACUGCAAAGCAAAAAAGAAGAGUCAGAGUCAUGUCUCAUGGAUCCUUCAUUUGCUUUUGUUUUUCUUUAAUCUCCACACACGGCGUUCUGUUCUGAGCUCUGUUAAGCUCCGGUCAGUGUCAUUGCCUUGGUGUAAGCCAAAACCUUCGGUACAAUUAAAUCUGAUCUACUUUGCUGUAAAGCCAAUGAAUUUUCUUUGGGGUCUUUCUAGUUCUCUUGAACUCCCUGGACUUCUAGGCCCCAUCUGGGCUAUCCAUUUUAAGCAGUAUCGAGUCGCUUUAAACAUCCACAGAUUCCUCCAAAGAAUCCUGGAAACUGUAGUUUGUUAAGGGUGCUGAAAGGAGACUCGUGUCCCCUCAAUUCCCAGAAUAGUUUAACAAUCCAUCCCUCUUUUCAGGAAACUCUGGGAACUGUAUCUGGGAAGUAGAGGGAAUAAGGAGUUUGCUAAGAACUCUCAGCACCCUUAACAAACUACAGUUUCCAGGAUUCUUUGGAAGAAGCCAGGAAUGUUUAUAGUGCCAAAAGAUAGACGUAAUAUAUUACAAGGACAGGAAGAAACAUUACGGACAGAAUAACUGCCACACACAGGAAGAACAAGGAGAGACUUUGAAUGCUUCACCUGUAGCUUUAUAAAUCAUUGAAUGUGUCAAUACGAAUGGAAGUCAUUAAAACUGCAGUUGCGGUAUAAGGGAUUGUUAUUUUGACUGGAGUGUAACUGAAAUUUAUAAGAUUUUGGAACGUGGAAAUAAAGUAAAUCAUCCACCCAUCAAUUCUAGCAUGUGGGGUAGGGUGGAGCACCCAAAUUGUACAAUUUGGCAUCUGAAUGAUUGGUAUUACUAAUUGUAUUAUAAUUUGGCAUUGUUAUAAUGAGGCUGUUAUUGUAAUUGAAAACUUAUAAAAAUUAUUAUCAAAAAAGAGUAC